rnacentral:misc_RNA from 1 species
UUAAUAAUUGGUUGUUAUCAGAGGUUGACUGCAACUGCAAAGGGUUUAUGGGGUCCCCGUUGGCGGAAUCACCCGCCGGGGAAACAAGAGGUACUCAUAGACAAAGGGUGCUAUCUCGAUGGGGAAUCACCCCCACGGUAAUGAUCCUUCCGCAGGUUCACCUACGGAAA